UACAGGGGGGGCAAGCGUUGUUCGGAAUUACUGGGCGUAAAGGGCUCGUAGGCGGCCAACUAAGUCCGACGUGAAAUCCCCAGGCUUAACCUGGGAACUGCGUCGGAUACUGGAUGGCUUGAAUUCGGGAGAGGGAUGCAGAAUUCCAGGUGUAGCGGUGAAAUGCGUAGAUAUCUGGAGGAAUACCGGUGGCGAAGGCGGCAUCCUGGACCGACAUUGACGCUGAGGAGCGAAAGCGUGGGGAGCGAACAGG
rnacentral:rRNA from 1 species